rnacentral:rRNA from 1 species
UACAGAGGGUGCAAGCGUUAAUCGGAAUUACUGGGCGUAAAGCGCGCGUAGGCGGCUUUGUAAGUUAGAGGUGAAAGCCCGGGGCUCAACCCCGGAACUGCCUUUAAGACUGCAUCGCUUGAAUCCGGGAGAGGUGAGUGGAAUUCCGAGUGUAGAGGUGAAAUUCGUAGAUAUUCGCAAGAACACCAGUGGCGAAGGCGGCUCACUGGCCCGAUACUGACGCUGAGGUGCGAAAGCGUGGGGAGCAAACAGG